UACGUAGGGUGCGAGCGUUGUCCGGAAUUACUGGGCGUAAAGCGCACGUAGGCGGCUUGGUAUGUCGGGUGUGAAAUCCCCGGGCUCAACCUGGGAACUGCAUCCGAAACUGCCUUGCUAGAGUAUGGGAGAGGGAAGUGGAAUUUCCGGUGUAGCGGUGAAAUGCGUAGAUAUCGGAAGGAACAUCAGUGGCGAAGGCGACUUCCUGGACCAAUACUGACGCUCAGGUGCGAAAGCGUGGGGAGCAAACAGGG
rnacentral:rRNA from 1 species